AGGUUGCGGGGGACGGACUCGAACCAUCGACCUGCAGGUUAUGAGCCUGCCGAGCUAACCAACUGCUCCACCCCGCG
rnacentral:tRNA from 1 species